rnacentral:misc_RNA from 1 species
GAUGAAGAACGCAGCGAAAUGCGAUAAGUAAUGUGAAUUGCAGAAUUCAGUGAAUAAUCGAAUCUUUGAACGCACAUUGCGCCCUCUGGUAUUCCGAGGGGCAUGCCUGUUCGAGCGUCAUUAUAACCCCUCAAGCUCAGCUUGGUGUUGGGGCCUGCUGCACUGGCAGCCCUUAAAAUCAGUGGCGGCGCCAUCUGGCUCUAAGCGUAGUAAUUCUUCUCGCUAUGGAGUCCUGGUGGAUGCUUGCCAUCAACCCCCAAUUUUUCUAUGGUUGACCUCGGAUCAGGUAGGGAUACCCGCUGAACUUAAGCAUAUCAAUAAGCGGAGGA